rnacentral:rRNA from 1 species
CCCUUAGAUGUUCUGGGCCGCACGCGCGCUACACUGAUUCAUGCAACAAGUUUUGUCCUUGGCUGAUAGGCCUGGGUAAUCUUUGAACGUGAAUCGUGAUGGGGAUAGAUGAUUGCAAUUAUUCAUCUUCAACGAGGAAUUCCUAGUAAACGCAAGUCAUCAGCUUGCAUUGAUUACGUCCCUGCCCUUUGUACACACCGCCCGUCGCACCUACCGAUUGAAUGGUCCGGUGAAUUCUUCGGACUGCGGCUUUGACUCGAUUUCGGUCGAGGCGUUGCUGCGGGAAGUUGAUUAAACCUUACCAUUUAGAGGAAGGUGAAGUCGUAACA